GGCUGAUCCGAUGGUAGUGGGUUACCAGAACUUAUUAACAUUAGUGUCACUGAAGUUGGGAUACCACCCCCCACUGCUAAAUUUGACUGGCUUUAA
ensembl:misc_RNA Y_RNA Y RNA